rnacentral:lncRNA from 10 species
AAAAUAAAAUAACUAGCUGAGCCCUGCAGAAACUCUCCAGUUAACACGUCAAGGCCUGAUCCACCUAAUAAGAUGACAUUCCAGGACAGAGAACUUUCAAUUACAUCAGAAGACAGUUGACAGAUGGCAGAGCCCGCCAGCCUAUCUCGGCUGAUAGGAUGAUAACCCCUUGAGCCUGGCUGGCUUCGGACCACAGGGCUGGCUGCAGACCCCACAAUCGCAGCUACUUGCAGAAGUAAACAGGAAGCAGAGCCAGUGCUGAGAGCUGGCGGAGGACGUGCCCUCCUGGGCUCAGAGCAGGAGACUGGCCUCUUGCUCCACAUGGACUGAAAUUCCCAGGAAACAGGCUGCAGGCAUGGACGCUGGACGUUGUGGGAGCGUGAGUGGUGAGCUGGGCCCCUAAGCCCCCAUUGAGGGGGAGGGACAGGCAGCUGGAGGGGAGCACAGACAGAGACCGAGCGACUGGCAGAGACGGAGGGAAGGAGGAGGUUGGACCCACCAUUGCAGGGUCCUUUUUCAGGAAGUAAUCAUCAGAAUUAAAACUACGGAGUUACUUUCCUCACGGCCUCACUCAGGGCCACCGCUGAGCUGAUCAAUUGACAAACACAGACCUACCUUCCUUUGGAGGAAGCCACAACUCCCCCGCCGGGAUUUGUCAGCGUUUGUGACUUUGUCAAGUCAUCCCAUCUGGCUGCACUCAGCCUGGACGUCGG